GAUGAACGCUGGCGGCGUGCCUAAUACAUGCAAGUCGAGCGAACAGACGAGGAGCUUGCUCCUCUGACGUUAGCGGCGGACGGGUGAGUAACACGUGGAUAACCUACCUAUAAGACUGGGAUAACUUCGGGAAACCGGAGCUAAUACCGGAUAAUAUAUUGAACCGCAUGGUUCAAUAGUGAAAGACGGUUUUGCUGUCACUUAUAGAUGGAUCCGCGCCGCAUUAGCUAGUUGGUAAGGUAACGGCUUACCAAGGCGACGAUGCGUAGCCGACCUGAGAGGGUGACCGGCCACCCUGGAACUGAGACACGGUCCAGACUCCUACGGGAGGCAGCAGUAGGGAAUCUUCCGCAAUGGGCGAAAGCCUGACGGAGCAACGCCGCGUGAGUGAUGAAGGUCUUCGGAUCGUAAAACUCUGUUAUUAGGGAAGAACAAAUGUGUAAGUAACUAUGCACGUCUUGACGGUACCUAAUCAGAAAGCCACGGCUAACUACGUG
rnacentral:rRNA from 1 species